AGCGACUGUGCGAAACAAACGAAACAGAGACCAAAGAUUCAUGCCCUGCAAAGAGACAUUGGAGUGUUGGGAUCGGGGAUGUUCAAUUUCAAUCUGUGUUGUAAAUUGAUUUGACUGACUGAGGAGAGAUUGGCUUACCUGAGGUCCAUCUGAUUCCGCCGUUGUCAUUGAUCCUCGGCUGCCUCGUCGGCGUCGUAUGUUACACCUGCAAGAGAGGCCACAUAUAGCUGACCAUGGCUGAAGACUGGUUUAGGCAAGUAUAGAGCAACGUUUGAUAAAGUCUGGCCUUGGCUUUUAUUCACUGUCAUCGCAUAGCAAACUCGGAUUGGAAACUGGCGACGUUUCAAGGUGAAAGGAUGGUUGGAUUCUAGUGGUGACAGGAUGAUCCGUGGCAGCAGGAUAGGAUCUGUCUUCUUUGUAGCAGUUACGCAGGAGCAUGACUGGGACACCCACUUUCAGCCGGAGUUUGUGAGCUGGUAGGCCUGGGAACUCCAAGGAGUUCAGAUAUUCCAAUGGGUAGGACAUUUUGAACUCCUCUGAAUGCUGUUCAUCCUCUGCAAAGGUGUCUGCACUUAAGUAUUCUCUGUCUGGUCCAGGUCCGUGUAUUGGUUUGCAAAAUCUGGAAAAGCAGAAGAACAUAGUGUCUCCAAAGGAGUUGAAGUUCUAGGGAGGAGGACAGUGUCAUCUAAGAAUAUUUUGUCCUCUGGUGUUUCACAGUCGCCUAGGCUAUGAGGCUCACCUGCUGCUACGCCAUCACCUACCUGAAGAAUCCAGUCUGCGAACUCUUUUUCUUCUGGCUCGACACGCAUGUUUUGGGUGAGUAGAAAAAUGUUACAGUGGUUCCAGAGGUGCGAACGAUUAAGAGCAGCGUUGACUGUCUCUUGUCUUGUUCCUUGUGGUAUAACUGGCAAAAUCUGGCGGAAAUCACCACCGAGAAGGACGGUUUUCCCCCCAAAAGGUUUCAUGGCGGCCGCUUUAUCUGAUACGGAUAUUAUAUCUCUGAGAGUACGAUCAACAGCCUCAAAGGCGUGGCGAUGUGCCAUGGGAGCUUCGUCCCAGAUGAUGAGGUCUGAUUCGCUGAGGAAGUUGGCGAGGAUUGAUCCAGUCUUCACUUCGCAGUAAGAAUCUUCAUAAAGCUUCAGAGGAAUACUGAACCUUGAAUGUGCUGUGCGACCACCAGGUAAGAGAAGGGCGGCAAUGGCGGAGGAUGCCACGGGUAUAACCUUUUUACUUCCUGAUCGUAAAGCUGCAAUGAUUGCUCUAUAUAGGAAUGUUUUCCCCGUUCCUCCUGCUCCAUAGAGAAAGAAUAGCUUGCCUUGGUGCUCACGAACGGACUUGAUCACUGCAUCAUAUACUGCCCGCUGUUGAUUGUUGAGCUUGCAGAAAAGUUCCUGGUGAACCUUUUGUUCUUCAGCUAAAUCAAACUGGUUGUGCCUCGCCAUUGCUCUAUUCUUCAUUUCGUCCAUGAUAGCUUUGUUUGGAAGUGGCAUGCCUGCAAACUCAGUCAAUGACUUCUCGUAGUUCUGAAGCAGGGUCUCUAUUUCAAUAAGUGUGUAUUGCUGCAGUUCGUCUGGGGUUAGCUGGAGGUCUGGGAAUCGAAGAAGGCGUCUCUGGCGCAUCAAGACAUCUUCUGCCAUAUAUUCCCAAGAAUGAUCCCAAAGUUUCCUUGGUUCUGAAACUUGACAGUAGAUGAGUAUUAGUACGAAGAGGUAGCGAAGAGAUCUUGGUGAUGAAAAUUGAGAUGCUUCAGACAUAGAAUCAUGCCAGUCCUUGUCUGUUCCGAGAAAGCCUCUAGCAUAGCAGGCUUCUUGAAAGGUACCUGUCUUCAACGUUCUGGAGGUCCUCAUUCUCAUCAAAAACAGCCAUGUGUUCGCCAGGAAGGUGAAUUGGUAAUUUCUGCACUGCUGGACUGUUGUGGUAAAUAUCAAACACAAAAAUUCUCCACAUCGACUCACAUGCUGAAAGGUACUUGAUGGCGCUUGAUUUGUUGCACCAUUCGACAUUGACAUGGGCCUUGUAUUUCUUCAAGAUCUGGAGGUUGUGGGGGACAACAAAUUGAUUAUCAAGCUUGAUCUUUCCCUUGGAAACAAACUGCCCAGUCUGUCUGCGCUUGUACAAGAUGUAGCCUGAUUCAUUAACUUGGGUGUGUGGAACAUAACUGCGGGGGAAUUUCUUUGUGCAAACACCAUUGUCCAUGCAAGGAGAUGAUAAUCUGUCUUUCCCACAGGGACCAUGCAUCAUGUGUUGCUCCACCAAACCAAAAGCUUCAGGGUCCUUUUCCUUGUCAGGGAGCUCUGCUGAGAUGAUGUUGUCAAUAUCAGCUGCAGUGGGAUUUCUGAAGUCCCCUUCGAGCCAUAGAAGUAUGUGGGCGUGUGGAAUGGUACCUGCUUUGGGUCUGGGAAAAAAUAUGCCUUUGUUGAAAUCUGACAUCAACUCAUCGAGCUUCAUCUUGAACACUCUAGACUCGAGGUCGGGCCGGUCGUUGGGAUCGUCGGUUCCAUACAGUUUGAGGUGGUCAGAUAGCUCUUCCCAUUUAGGAUUUGUUGUAAUAGUGAUAAAUAAGUCUGGAUUCCCGUGCCAUCGACAUAUUGCCAUCGCAUCAUGAUACUUUUCUGCCAUAUAACGGGGGCUGCCCGUAUAGCUGGAGGGUCUGCUCUGAUUUUCUUCUGGUUUAAGCGGAACCAACGCAACCUUUCCUGCUCUAUGCAUGUAAAAGCGUCAACAAUAUACUGGUGGAACAACCUUUUGGACCUCACAAUAACCAUGCCUUCAGCUAAGCGGGUUUGUAUUUGAUGAGCAAAGUACUCUCUUUUUGUGAUGUAGCCCCUUUUCCUAGGCUCUCCGUCAGUAUUUAUGACCGGUAUGUUCUCGUUGAAGCCUAUCUGUCCAUACGGGAAGAGGAUUGGGUAUUGCAAAGUCAUAAAGAGUGGGUGCAUAUCACUUAUAUGCUGCAGGCCUGAAGAUCUGUGUUGCACAAUUAUAUCUCUCUCGCCCAUAUCCUCCGUAAAGUCACCAACGAUCAGACCAGCAAUUUCAUCAGUUUGAGGCAUAUCAUAUUGACGAUCACGCUUUGACUUGCCUUUCAGUCUUAUGCUAAAUUCCUGGCAGCUAUCAGUUUCAUGGAUGUCUCUAGCUUUUCUGAAAAUCUUAGUCAGACAGUUGUGAGUGUCCAUUGUUUCUAUCAGCUCUUUUACUAUAUUAGGAUCCAGUUCACCUACUGUGGCCGUACGCUUGACAGUGGAGAUUCUAUUUUUAAUCUCAUUAGCGGUAUCGAUGAUGUAGAGCUGACUGAAUUUUGGAGGUUGUCCUGCUCCAGGAACCAAAGACCCGAUCCUGUGUGCAUUUUGACCAUGGAUUCUGAAAGUGAAAGGCCCUGUUUUGUGCAUUACGGAAUGAUCAAUCUGUGCGCCCAUUGACGUAAAUGCGAGGAUGGAGUUAUAUGUCCGGAUAUCAUGCUGGAAAUGUUUGGAGCUGAGGAGCAGUGUUUUCAAGGCGGGUGGAGCUUCUGGUUCUGGUGGGAGUUUUACUCGGCCUUGUUGACAGCAUAUACUGAAAAGCGGUAUUCUGUUAGGACCUCUGGUCCCUUUUUUUUCUUUCUCCCAAACCAGAGCAUGACAAAGGGGACAUUCUAUGAUCCCAUUAGUUGCCUUUUUAAGAGAUCGUGACGUCUUCCCAGAAGUGCGUGAUGUCCCUGAAGUGCGUGAUGACCUCCCUAAAGUGCGGGGUCUGGAGCCUACGCAAACAAAUGUUGCCAAAAGUUAGUAUGGGUGAUUGGUCAUUUCAUAUUUGAAGAGAGUAGGUGAAUCUGUUAUUUCCAUAUUCAAAAAAGUUGAAGACAAAGGAGGAGAAAGCUAUUCCAUGGUCGGAUAUCUUUUUGCUUACUUGGGUGCUUUCGGAUUGACUUCUUUGAUAAUAGUAUGGCUCGCCGCAUUUCCCUUGCUCUUCUUUGAGUAUCUGCAGGUCUAUGGGUGAAGCUUACCUUUACGGUUUGAGUUUUCGCCAGAGGAGCUAGGGAUCAUUGAUGACGUGUCUGAUCGGAGGAGAGUAUCUGCAGGUUUACGGGUGAAGCUCACCUUUACGGUUUGAGUUCUCGCCAGAGGAGCUAGGGAUAAUUGACGACGUGUCUGAUCGGAGGAGAGUGCUUUGUCUGUAGCGUUUGUUCCAUUCAGUUGCUGUUGGAUCGUCUGUUUUCCUUUUUCCCAUGAUGAACAGUUGUGAUUUUGGUGUAAAAACUCUGUGCGUGUUAGUCCUAAAGACGGGGUGUAGGAAUUCUGAUGAACAGUCGUGAUAUUGUUGGUUUGAUUACGUAACGUAUAUUUGUUGUGGAGACAUUUACAUAAUGAACCCCAUUUAUUUUCACUCUA